rnacentral:rRNA from 1 species
AAGGAUCAUUGUCGAACCUGCAAGGCAGAACGACCUGUGAACAUGUAAAUACAAACCGGUGAUGGGGAAUGGUCCUUAUCCCCUUCCCCUCCCUACAUGCGUGUGUGGAGCUCCGUUUGGGGUGCCAUGGAUGUCAUGUUGGGAUUUAACAAACCCCGGCACGGAAUGUGCCAAGGAAAACAAAAGUGAGAAGGACUCGUCUUGUCUUGCCCCGUUCGCGGUGUGCAAGCGGGUUGUGGCCUCUUUGUACUAAAAACGACUCUCGGCAACGGAUAUCUCGGCUCACGCAUCGAUGAAGAACGUAGCAAAAUGCGAUACUUGGUGUGAAUUGCAGAAUCCCGUGAACCAUCGAGUUUUUGAACGCAAGUUGCGCCCGAAGCCAUCCGGCCGAGGGCACGCCUGCCUGGGCGUCACGUUUCGCGUCGCCCCCUACCAUAUAUACCCAACGGGUACUCAUGGUGUUUGGGGCGGAGAUUGGCCUCCCGUACUUGUGAUGCGGUUGGCCUAAAAAUGAGUCCCCUUCAGCGGACGCACGACUAGUGGUGGUUGAACAGACCCUCGUCCUUAUCGUGUGUCGUGAGCUGCUAGGGAAGCCCUCACCAAAGACCCCAUUGCAUUGAUUUUUGGACGGUGCUUCGACCUCGACCCCAGGUCAGGCGGGACUACCCGCUGAGUUUAAGCAUAUCAAUAAGCGGA